rnacentral:rRNA from 1 species
AUUGAACGCUGGCGGCAGGCCUAACACAUGCAAGUCGAACGAGUGGCGGACGGGUGAGUAAUGUCUGGGAAACUGCCCGAUGGAGGGGGAUAACUACUGGAAACGGUAGCUAAUACCGCAUACCAUCGGAUGUGCCCAGAUGGGAUUAGCUAGUAGGUGGGGUAACGGCUCACCCAGGCGACGAUCCCUAGCUGGUCUGAGAGGAUGACCAGCCAGAAGCGAACAGAGACACGGGCAAGACUCCUACGGGAGGCAGCCGUGGGGAAUAUUGCACGAUGGGCGCAAGCCUGAUGCAGCCAUGCCGCGUGUAUGAAGAAGGCCUUCGGGUUGUAAAGUACUUUCAGCGAGGAGGCGUUACUCGCAGAAGAAGCACCGGCUAACUCCGUGCCAGCAGACGCGGUAAUUC